GAUUCGCGUGGGCGGAGAGGGAGUCCACACCACGCCUGGAACCAACGCCGCCGGCUGGAAAAGCAGUGGCUCGCAUGCCUCUGAGGCCCGGUGGAAUCGAAUAUGGCAUCACAUCUGCCUCCGUACCUGAGCGCUCCCCCAGCCUGCAGUUCUCAUCCAAGAUCCCUGAUCUCAAGAUUUCCCCCAAAGCUAUAGCUUCUGUUGAGGAGGAAGAUGAACCCAUCAACAAGAUCAUUUCAAACGUUACAUGAGAUACAAUUCUUGGUAUGGACUCUGGAUCUGCUCUCCAUCCGCUAGUUAAUGCAGAUGCAGCAGGGCAGUUGGACAGCCAUAAGACUCCUCGUAGUUUUCGCCCGUUGAGUAAUAUUUGUCUCGGGUAGCUUCUUUAAAGGUCUCCAGACCAAGGAUUUCCUGCCCCUGUCGCUGGAGUCUCCUUCAUGUAUAUGGCGGCGAUGCUCUCUUCAUUUUUUCGGAUGCAAGGGGUGUUCCCUGGGAUUUCACUUCAAAAAAAGUAUGCAAGUAGAUUGAUAACAGUUUAUCAAUUAGAAGCCAAACAAAAGAUGGCAUUACAUCUACGAUGGAAUAAAGAUGGGCAUCUUGGUGGUUCGGCCAUGAUGUCGAUGGGUUGUCACAUAGGGAGUGUUUCAGCGUCGCAGGUGGGUUUUGUGACUUGUUUUGUGUGAUAGUUGUACCAAUAUGUAUGUUAAAUUUCAAACCGUGAGAUGUUCAAUAUUGUGUUUCA